rnacentral:lncRNA from 1 species
UUUUUUUUUUUGGUAAUUAACCCGUGUGAUUAUUCUUCUUUUUUUGGUAACUAAAUUUUUGUAUUAAUCACCAAGUGAGAGUUUUACAAGAACCAUAACAAGGAUACACACAGCAUGUUAUCUAACCAGAAUAUCUAUACUAACUCAAGAGCGCUAAACUAGAAUCUAAGCAUUUACAGCAGUGUAAUUUCUAGGAGAGGCCCUGCCAUUACAUAAUUAUUGCAAUCUCUCUUGCUAUACUUUCCCAACUUAGACUUUUUUCCUCGAAGAUUCUCAAGUUCCUUUCAAUCCAUAAUCCGUGCACACACUCAAACUAUCUGUAAUUGUUAAAAAGAGAGAAGAACUUUUCUACUUUUAGGUGUUAUGAAUAGUGGCAUAGCCACAUACAUUGAUGGGUGGUCAACCGAUCAAACGUCAUUCAUCAAAAAAUUUAUAUUGUGUAUAUAAAAACUUAUAUUGUGUAUAUAGGUCAAAAAUUAAUUUUUUUAUGUGUAUAUUAAAUUUUGAACACCUUUUGCGAAAUUUUUGACUUCACCAAAAGAUUUGAAGCAAUUCUGUAAAAAUGGACAUUUGAAAGAGUCAAUACAAGACAUAUUAAGUUAAGCUUUUAUUUCUCCUUUACAAGUCCCUUUUACAUAUGGAUCCGAAAUUUGACUAAAUGAAGAUAUGAUUUUCGUGAAUCUGAAGUAAAUUACUAUGUACAAUAGUAUUACGAGUAGUUUUUUGGGGUCGAAAUACAAUAAUAGUUUUAGUUCAUAGUAGAGCCAUGCACGCAUUAAUAAGUUAUAGAAGUAACAACAAUGACCUAUUAAUCCAUACUUAAAGGGACAUAACAAGAAUUAGCAAAACUCUUUUAUUAUAUGGGUGCAUAGCAGCAUAGGUAUAAAAUUGUAUCACAUACACGACAAGAUCCCGCGUCGUUCGUGCAAUAUUCCUCACUUAAAAAAAAAGUGUACCAAUGAGCCAUUGCCGAGAUCUAACAAUUAAAUUAAGGAUUAAUUCAAUGAAUUCGUUAAGUAAUUACUUUUAUUUAAUGUACGUCAGAAUCUCUAUCGCACUAAUUGACAAACAAAAUAAUGAAAGAGAAUCUCUGAUCCAUUGGUUGAAUCAGUGCUGACUGGCAUUCAUAUCAUACUGUUAUAUGUUAAUACGUCGGUGUAUUAAUUAAGCUGAUGAAAUUAUUUAUUUGGUUAUAUAGAAUUAAUUCUUGAAAAUCUUACUGAAAUGUCCCAAAUAAGCCCUAACUUACCAAUUUUUAAUCAUUAAUCAUAGAUUUAUCAAAACUAGUCAAGCACAUACAAAAAUUGAAAACCCAGAUAAAUAAGAAUUUUUUCUCUUCAAGAAUCACAUGCAAAGAACUCCUUCUAUAUUCUUAAGUGUAAUCAACAACAUUAGAUGCAAGACGGAAAGUAAAUUUCAUGGAGGCAAACAAGGUGAUAAAUACAAAAAAUAUAUAUAUACACAAGAUUUCAAAAUUCUAAGCAACAAUAGACCUUUUUCAAUAGGUAUGGUUGAAAUUCAUUAAAAACAUAUAGAUGAGUCGAUAAACAAAUUUUAAGGAAGAUUGGAGGUGAUUUGAUCUGAUUUGGUAUCAAAUUCGUAGUUAAAAUCGAGUUCAAAACUUUUUUGCGACACAUGUAUCAAACAUGUAUUACGCAUGUAUCUCACACAGGUAUACAUGGAUAUGCAUGUAUUACACGUUUGAUACAAAUAUGAUUACAUAUGUGAUACACAAAUGAUAUACGGUGUGAUACACAUAUCAUUUUUUUCUCUGUUCAUCUUCUACUGCGAAUUUUCAAUCAAAACUCUGCCAAAUAAUCUCAAAACUGAUAUUUAAACUCCUUAAGAUAUAUCUAAUCUAUUCCAACAACACUCAAUCAAAAGAAAGCAAAAAUUUAAUAUUUUUUUGCUACAAAUAGCUAAUUGGCUAAUAAUGAUAAUUUUUUAUGAAUUGACUAAUUUUUGUGCUAACUUACUUAUGAGCUGACAUAACCGGUAAUUUCCCUUAAUUCUUUUGAACUAUGUUUCUGGAACACUGCCAGAAACAUGUCAAUCUUAUUGUAAAAAAUAAUUUGUUGAAUGAAAUGUUCCCAUCGAAGAUUCGAAAUAUGCCUUGCAUGACAGACGUGAACCCUUGUAAAGUAGAUAUAUUAUGAUUAUUUUGUUCUUAAGAGUUUAUUUAUGUACAACAUUCUAUCUUUCCCACAAUUUCUGAUUUAUAAAAGACGUUUUAAUUUUUCAGCUAUGUGUUUCGUAAUAUAAUAGGUUCAUUAACAUAACAAAUCGUGUAUGACUUGUGAAUGCUAACAAUACUUUUGAUAAUGUUUGUAUAACAGUCAGUAAUAGAAACGAUCAAAAUACAUAUGUUCAACUAGUAUGUUGAUGUUAUCGCAACAAAUAACAAGGAGCUUAUUUGAUUCCACCCAUUUGUGAUGUAAAUAAUGAGGUAAUAAUCUUACAAUUUUUACCCCACAAAAAAAAAAUGUAUCGUGACAACUUUUUGCAUUUUGGUUCGGAUGAUUCGAACAACGAAACGUUGACGAACUUUUAUGUUUUUGUACACAUUUUUAUAUUUCCGUCCAAUAUUUUAAAGCCAAACAAACUUUAAUAUUAAAAAUAGUAAGGAGACAUUAAUUUCGCAAAGUUUUUGAAGAAACAANNNNNNNNNNNNNNNNNNNNNNNNNNNNNNNNNNNNNNNNNNNNNNNNNNNNNNNNNNNNNNNNNNNNNNNNNNNNNNNNNNNNNNNNNNNNNNNNNNNNNNNNNNNNNNNNNNNNNNNNNNNNNNNNNNNNNNNNNNNNNNNNNNNNNNNNNNNNNNNNNNNNNNNNNNNNNNNNNNNNNNNNNNNNNNNNNNNNNNNNNNNNNNNNNNNNNNNNNNNNNNNNNNNNNNNNNNNNNNNNNNNNNNNNNNNNNNNNNNNNNNNNNNNNNNNNNNNNNNNNNNNNNNNNNNNNNNNNNNNNNNNNNNNNNNNNNNNNNNNNNNNNNNNNNNNNNNNNNNNNNNNNNNNNNNNNNNNNNNNNNNNNNNNNNNNNNNNNNNNNNNNNNNNNNNNNNNNNNNNNNNNNNNNNNNNNNNNNNNNNNNNNNNNNNNNNNNNNNNNNNNNNNNNNNNNNNNNNNNNNNNNNNNNNNNNNNNNNNNNNNNNNNNNNNNNNNNNNNNNNNNNNNNNNNNNNNNNNNNNNNNNNNNNNNNNNNNNNNNNNNNNNNNNNNNNNNNNNNNNNNNNNNNNNNNNNNNNNNNNNNNNNNNNNNNNNNNNNNNNNNNNNNNNNNNNNNNNNNNNNNNNNNNNNNNNNNNNNNNNNNNNNNNNNNNNNNNNNNNNNNNNNNNNNNNNNNNNNNNNNNNNNNNNNNNNNNNNNNNNNNNNNNNNNNNNNNNNNNNNNNNNNNNNNNNNNNNNNNNNNNNNNNNNNNNNNNNNNNNNNNNNNNNNNNNNNNNNNNNNNNNNNNNNNNNNNNNNNNNNNNNNNNNNNNNNNNNNNNNNNNNNNNNNNNNNNNNNNNNNNNNNNNNNNNNNNNNNNNNNNNNNNNNNNNNNNNNNNNNNNNNNNNNNNNNAAAUUUGAUUGAAAAAUCAUGGAGUCAUAUGGGGUGGGGUGGGGGUAAAAGUUUUACUCACAACGAACUUAUAUCAAACCAUAUCUAUGUAUCAUAAUUAAGCGGUAGAAUAAUGUGAGAAUAUAUUUUAAUUAACAAUAUUAAGUAAAAACAGCGUAUGUAAAGAUAUACUUUGUGUAUUCAUCAAGUUGAUAGAAAAACAAGUUUUUGCUUACGGGGUGGAUCAUGCCAUAUGAAUCAGAACUAUUUGGUCAUGUAAUGUCCCUUUCCAUAAGUUUGUAACGUAGUGCUGUUGCUUUCGGUUUAAGUGAAGGAAUAGCAUCAUUUGGGAAAGGACAAGUAAGAAAUAUAUAACAAAUAAAUACAAGAGUCCAAUAUCUUGAGGCAGUAAGGAACGUCUGUUUGUUUUCGGCAUGUCUGUUUGUUUUCGGCAUGGAAGUUGGUGUUGGGUAGGUAAUUAAAUUUUAAAUUGGAAUCAAAAUAUAAGUUUAUGGUAAGAUAUUUUUAUAACACAAGGGAAAACAGAAUGAAAAAGAAAGGACGGCAAGGAAUUGAACCUACACCAAUUAUGUAAAAGCUCCAUCACUAGAUUAUGUGUAGGUAAGGCCGGCUCUAAUGUUAUAAGAGGUAAAGGCUUAGGUCCCGCCCUAUUUUUUUAAAAUAAUAGGUUUAUAGGUGUUUAAAAAAUAAUAUUUAAUACUUUUAAUACAAAAGUAGAGUUUUUAAUAUAAAAGAAAGAAAGAUCUUUAUAUAUAUAUAAAAAUAAAGUAAUAAUUUGACUUACUUAAAAAUGGGUAGAUGAAUAGUUACCAUUCCAAUUUUUUACUUUUUACUUCUUCAUUAGAGAACGUUUAAAAUUUUUACUCUCCCUUUCUUAAUUUGUUCGAGUCAAUAUUUCUUUUUACCAAUCUCUUCAUAUUUCAAAUACAUAUUUUUUGUCUUUCUCUUUAUUAUUCUUACUCACAUUCUUUCUCCAAGAUUUUAUUAGUUUAAGUGUUCAACAAUACUUUUAAACUUUUAAUAGUUUUAUACUUCUAUUGCUCUAUAAUAUCUUAUCUAAAAUCAACAAUAUAUGCAGAAAGACUAAAUGAGUUGUCUAUAAUAUCGAUUGAAAAAGAAUUAUUAGAAAAAGUUGAUUAUAAAAAAGAUCAUUAACAACUUUAUAUCUCAAAAAGUCAGAAGAUUAGAUUUCAAAUAAUAAUAUAUCUUAUAACUUCAUUUUAAAAAUUUAGGUCCCGUAUUAAAUUUUGGUCUGCUUGAGCCGCCCCUGUGUGUAGGUGGUAUCUUUCGAAUUAGUUAAAUUUUGAUUUUUAAACCCUGACAACUUGGAGCGCCUCCCUUUUUUGGUAAAAAAUGUUCAUGAUUUUAAUAUUUUAAUGUAACGUGGACAUGAGACUUUGGACUUAUUGACACAAGAUUUUUGAUUUUGUGACUUAGUUAUUAAUUGGCUGAAAUAAAGAACUCCAAAGCCAUUUUUGAUUCGUCUAUUGUCAACUUGUAGUAGGCAUAAAGGUUAGAGGCCAUGAAGUUUUAGAAAAUAGUCGUGUAAAUCUACUUCAAAAGAACUGCUGGGAGUAUCAGAAGAGGAAAAGAUAGAAAGAGAGAUAUCAAACAACGUUAAGUGCCACUUUUUUUCCACCAAACAUUAGGUGCUCUUUGUUUGAGACUUUUGAGGUGAGUUACAUUAUUUAGGAUAUUAGGAAUCUGUUAAAUGAAAUUGCCCAUACUUUCCAUUUAGUCGUAAUGUGAUGCAAUUUGAUGUUUGUCCUAUUCUUAUACCAUUAGAUUUCCCAACAAUCGGGGGACAUAAAUGGAAAAACAAUUACUCUGCCCCUCUCUGUUUGUCUUCUGACAAGGACGAGAUAUUUUUUGUUAAUUGUUUGUUGGCAUAUCCGUUGAAUCAAAUACACAGUAAAAGAAUCGGUAGAGGUCAACUUUAAUUAUUCUAGUCUAAUAUUCUAAAGAGUCCUAAACCAAAGUGUUAUAUUUUUGGACUCAAAGAAAAAAAAUAGGUAAAAAACAUAAUUGAGAAUCAUUUUAUAUAUAACGUAUUUCUUUACCGCGCUAUACUUUAACGACAUGUUUGUCCGUUAAGGUAUAGCACAUGGGUUACAUGCGCUAAAUUUGAACUUUACUGACCCACAAAUAAUUAAAGGUAUAGCGCAUGCAUAAUACGCGCUACAUAUAUAGCGCCUCUUAUGCAUGCGCUAUUCCUUCAAUUAUUGUACCCACGGACUGGUUUUUUUGCUUAUUUAAGGAGUUUCAGAAUUUUGGUAAAAAUGCAUUCAGGAUCCUUCAGGUCUUUCGAAAUUAUUAUUUGCUUAACUUAUUUUGCAUUUUGUCAUAAUGUCCAAAGAGCGAAAAAUUAGAGUUUCAUUAUAUUGAGGGGGGGUGUCACGACCCCAAUUCACCCUCCAUAGGUUGUCGUGAUAGCACAUAGUCUCUAAGACUAGGCUAGCCUAACAAUUUGCGAAAAUACGUAAAAUAAAACUGAAGCCCAAUUCUCAACAUAUGAAAUAAAUAUAAAAUUGCAAUUCAAUAAUUUCAACUCCCAAAACCCGGUAGAAAUAAGUCACAAGUUUCUAAAAAUUUAUUCUGGGUGUCUCAAUACAUCAGAGUCUAAAGAGAAAUCAGGAAGACAGCAUAAUAAGGAUAGAGGGGGACUCCGAGGUCUGCGGACGCUUGUAGAUGUACCUUGAAGUCUCCGCGUACAGCUAGUUCACUGAUACCUGGUCUGACAGGAAGUACCUGGAUCUGCACAAAAAUAUAUGAAGAAGCGUAAUAUGAGUACACCACAGCGGUACCCAGUAAGUGCCAAGCCUAAUCUCGGUAGAGUAGUGACGAGGUUAGGUCAGGCCCUACUGAAAAUAAUAAUAAAUAAGGCAAAAAUUUAUAAUAAGGUAAUGAAGUGACUGAGAAAUAAACGAAAUUUACAGAAAGAUAACAACAUAACAAUUAUAUGUAAACAACCGGGGCGCUCCCGAGGUACCGCCUUGUAGUCCCCAAAAGUAAAUCUGCAGUACAGGGGAUCUCCCGAGGAACCGCAUCGUAGUCCCAAAAGUAAAUAUGCAGUACAGGGGGAUCUCCCGAGGAACCACCUCGUAGUCCUAAAAGUAAAUAUGCAGUACAGGGGGAUCUCCCGAGGAACUGCCUCGUAGUCCCAAAAGUAAAUAUGUAGCAUAUAGUCGAAGCAACAACAAAUUUCCAGCAAGAAAUCUUACAGUUAAAGAUUUAAAUCAAAUCAAGGAAAGUAUGUAAUUCAGCUAAGCAUGUUGCACAUAUUGCACGUAAGAGUUAAGGCGCGUAGACAUGUGAUACUAGGAUAAACAUGAUCACUACAUAUGCUAAGGCAACUCAGUUAAAGAAUUUAAAAGAAGACUACUCAGCAAAAACCGAUAUUUCCAAAUUUAGACCGUGUACGCACUCGUCACCUCGCGUACAUGGCGCUCACAUAUCACAAAAUGUUACAACAGUUUCAAAUCCUAAGGGGAUUUCCCUCACACAAGGUUAGACAAGCCACUUACGUCGAAUCUCGCUCAAUCAGUCAAGUAGUAUGCCUUUCCCUAGAUUUUACGACUGUGAUCGGCUCAAAUCUAGUCAUAAUUAAUUUGAUUCAAUCAAUACAAAUUAUAGGAAUUCAUUUCAUAUGAAAAUACAUAUUUUUCAACAAAAAUCUGAAAUUUAUCUCAAAAAUCGCUUGUAGGGCCCACGUCUCGAAAUCCGACGAAACUCACAAAAUACGACAACUCAUUCAAUUACGAGUCCAACCAUCUUAUUUCACUCAAAUCCGACUCUCAAUCGACAUUUAAAUUCCAAAAAUUUGUUUUAUGAAAUUUCUAUAAUUUUUCCAAAUUUUCAUCUCAAAAUACUAAUUAAAUGAUGAAAAUAAUAAUAUAUUCAUGUAUAUUAACCAAAUCCGAGUUAGAAUCACUUACCCCGAUGAAUUUCUUGAAAAUCCCACGAACAAUCGCCACCAACCGAGUUCCCAAAGUCCAAAUAUGAAAAAAUACUCUAACCCUCAUUUAUAAAGUGCAAAACUCUGACCUCCCAUUGUGCUGACCGCACAUUUUUAUUGCGGUCCGCACAUUUUCAAGUUCUGCGGUCGAGGUCCAAAUUGUGCAGCCGCACUUUAGUAUGACUGCACUAACAGGCUUUAGUAAAUUGACCACAACUUUCUGUAAAAAUAUCUAAAUGCUUAACGGUAUACCUUUCUGUAAACUAGACUCAAAGGGCUACAAGUUUUGUUUUUGAAUCAUCUCCAAAUUCCUUGAAGAUUAAAAGAUCUAAGCUUCCGAAGUCGGACCAUCGAACCUGAAAAUCUCCUUUCUACGGCCGCAAGAAAAAUUCUGCGGACCGCAUAAUUUCAACUGCGGACAACACAAUUUCAACUGUGGUCCGCACAAUUACCACUGCAUCCACACUUUGGGAGUUUGCGGCCGCACAUCCGCAUUCCAAAAUGUGACCUCCGCACUUCAACUGUCCCAAAGCAUCAUCAGAGUGUCGAAAUGUCCUGACUCGCUCAAAACUUACCCCGAAACACACCCGAGCCACUCGGGACCCCGUCCGAAUGUACCAACAAGUCCUAAAACGUCAUACGAACUUAGUCGAAACCUCAAAUCACAUCAAACAAUGCUAAAAUCACGAAUCAUACCCCAAUUCAAGCUUAAUGAACUUAAGAAUUUUCAACUUCUACAUUCGAUGCCGAAACCUAUCAAAUCAAGUCCGAUUGACCUCAAAUUUUGCACACAAGUUAUAAAUGACAUUACGGACCUACUCAAAUUUCCAUAAUUGGAUUCCGACCCCGAUAUCAAAAAGUCAACUCCCCUGUCAAAUUUUCAAAUUUAAAUUUCCUUUUUAAGCCUAAUUUAACUACGGACUUCUAAAUAAUUAUCUGGAUACGCUCCUACGUCCAAAAUCACCAUACAGAGCUAUUGGAAUCAUCAAAAUUCUAUUUCGGGGUCGUUUACACAUAAGUCAAUAUCCGGUCACCCUUUUUCAACUUAAGUUUUCAUCUUAGAUACUAAAUGUCUCAAUUCAUUUCAACACCUCACUGGACCCGAACUGACUACCCCAGCAAGUCAUAUAAAAGCUAUAAAGUAUAAAAUGAGCAGUAAAUGGGAAAAUAGAGCUACAACUCUCAAAAUGAGCGUCCGAGUCUUUACAUGGGGUGAGGUGUGGUGGAGAAUAACUCAGUAUGUUAUAGUUAUUCUCCACGGUGUCAUGUUAAGUUGCCACUUACAAUGGAGUACGAUAGAUUGGUAUCAUUGUUAUGUAAAAAAAUGAGGUUGAGGAAACGUUCGGUUAAUAUGAAAGUAACUGAAAGAUAUCUGUAUUCUGUUACUCCACAAGGGGUUGCUUGUUAUGUUGAGUUUAACAUCGAAGACGAUGAGAACACCGGGUGAACACCGGAUGAACACCGAGAACUUCUUGUGAUAAAAAUAUUGGAAAUGUACGUCAAGGUUGAAGACGUUCGCAAUAUUGAGGUUCCGCAAAAUAGGGAUAACCCUCAAUCAUCGGGUGGUUUUUUUGGAGCAAUUUUAUCCGAACAGGAUCCGUUUGAAAGAGUUUGGCCAGAUCUAAACUUAUCUCCAUGGGAGAAUGAGGAUCGAGGACAUAAUUUCUCCCCAAGUUUACAUAAUCCACAAGCCGAGUGGUAAACUUCAAUUUUCCUUUGUAUUACGAUGUUUUUUAAUGCAUUGUAUUUAUAUUAACACUCAUAUAUUCCACAGGGAGUACCGGCCAUAUAUGAAUUUUACAAGUUAUGAACCAACAGACAGUUGGAAUAUGCCUAGUUUUGGUAUGUUGGAUCAUGGUGGUCCAUCCGGGAGUCAUCAGCAACAGGAUAAUGUGAAUCAUGAGAUAUCAACAGAUUAUGAUUUGUAAGUUAAUUGAUAAAGUUUAUAUGUAAUGUUUGGAUGAAUUUGAAAAACUCAUUAUUUUAUUAGUUGUGCAGUGAAAACGAGCAAUUUGAAGGUCAUGUCCUUCCCCAAUUGCCCGAAGACGCUAUAUUUGAUCGAGAUCUGGCAGAUGCGUAGAGUCAGGAAGAUGAUAGUGAUUAUGACAACAAUGUUGAUGAGUGUGGAGAUGACACACCCUUUUCUGAUGAGGGUGAUGAUGAUGAGGACGAGAAUGAUGAACCUGAUUUGACGAAGGAGCAUGCUCUAUCUCCCGUUAGAUCGAGAGUGUACGAGUCCCAUGUGCCAUUUCAUUCAAGGGAGAUUCCCUACCUUGAUUAGUUUCCAAGUAUGCCGGAUGUGGAUGCCCUCACAAGGGAUCUUGAUGACAUUUGGACAUCAAUGUGGGAUGAAUCUAGACCAACGAUGCUAUCAAAGAAUAUGCUUUUUGCUGAUAAAGCACGCCUAAGUAGGGCAAUGCGAAUGUACAGCAUAAAAGAGUGUCGUGAGAUUGUGGUUCACGAGUCAUCUCUAGAAGUAUACAAGGUUAUUUGUCGUAGAUGGUUUCAAGGUUGUACAUGUAUGUUGCGUGAGAGAAAGUUGAAAACAAAUAUGUGGAUUAUGGGGAAAUACAUUAGCACCCACACUUGUCAAAUGGACACAUUCAGUGAGAAUCAUUUUAACUUAAAUGUUGUCUUGAUUCCACAUAUUGAAGCAUCCAUAAGGUACAAGAUUAAAGAGUGUAUAACAUCUUUCCACCAGGUAUAUGGAUGUACCAUUACCAACAGAAAGGCAUUUCUCGGGCGUAAACAUGUGUUUGAGAUUAUUUAUGGUAACUAGGAUAAGUCUUUUGCCGCUCUACCCAGGUACAUGGUUGCAUUGAAACACUUUAACCCUGGGACAGUUGUUGAAUGGAAGCUUGAGCGGAGUCCGGGAAUACCAGAAUCCAUAUUCACAUAUAUGUUCCGGGUAUCUAAACCAGCCAUUGAUGGUUUUGUGCAUUGUCGGCUGGUAAUAUCCAUAGACGAUACUCAUGUCUAUGAAAAGUAUGAUAUUAAGUUGUUGAUCGCUAUUGCAGUAGAUGCUAAUGGAAGCACAUUUCCCCUAGCAUUUGCUAUUUGUGCCAAUGAAAUCCAAGAGAAGUGGAUAUUGUUUUCGAACCACUUGAAGGGCACAUUUUCAGACAACGUUCAGGUAUUUGUCUAAUAUCUGAUCGCCAUGGCGGUAUUUUAAGUUCUGUAUAGAAUUUGGGUGCAUGGCAGGAAUUAUAUGCCUAGCACUGUUACUGUGUUAGGCAGUUGAAGACCAACUUCCAGAGGGCUCACCUGAAUAAGGACUUAUAUGAUUUAAUGUGGAUGGCUGCAACAGAUCACCAAGAGUGUAGAUUCAGGAUGCGAAUGGAAUUGAUUAGGCAGGAAGACUCAGAAGACUAUCGUUGGUUGAUGCAACAUAAGCUUGACAAGUGGACUUUGCAUAAGGAUGGUGGUAAAGGGCUGGGAAUUUUGACAACAAAUGUGUUAGAGUCUUUCAAUGGGUUGUUGAAGUCUGCACGUGGAUUGCUUGUUACUGCCAUGGUGCGGAUGUCAUUCAAGCAGAUGACGAAGAGGUUUGUUGAAAGAUCUAGAAGUGCAUCGUCAUUGAUGGAAAGGGGUGUUGUAUUUAUGCCACAUCCAAUGAAAUGAUUUUAGAAAUAUAGGAAGCGAGAACAGUGGCAUACAUUUUUGCAGUAUUGUAGAGAGCGAAAUAUUUUUAAAGUUCGCACCGGUCUGCAUCAAAACUGCGGGAAUAAUACACACACAGUCAAGGAAUCCAGAAGAUCAUGUUCAUGUAGAAAAUGGUCAAUCUAUCACUUGCCAUGCUUACAUCCCAUGAAGUGCUUUCAACAUACAGGUUUCGUGGCAACGAGGUACGUUGAUAAAGAAUAUAGUAUUGCUGCAUACACAAACACCUAUAGUGGACAGUUGCAGCCAGUGGGUGCUGAGCAUUAUUGUCUGACGAAACUAUUUAAAAUGGUGUGUAACAACGAUUAUGUGCGUCAACGGCAAGUGCAAAAAAGAACGCGGAUACGAAACCAAAUUGAUGUUGGUGAUACCAUUUAUGCGCGUAAAUGUGGUAUAUGCUCCCAAACGGGACAUGAUCGCCGUAAAUGUCCUUCAGCUUGUUUGGGAAGCAGUGGUAAUUCAGCUCCAGGUGGCAGUUCAUCCAAUGUGCCAAAUUAUCAAGGAUAAAUGUAGUAUUUUAUUGCAGUAUUUUUGUUGUACUAAAUGUCUGUAAAGGUUAAGCUUGCAAAUUUCUGAAAUAAAAUUAUGUUUCUAAUAGGGUUAAAUCUAAUUGAUAUUUAUCAUUAAAGAUUCAAUACAACAAUUUAAAAUAUUUCCCAAGAAAUAAAUAAUAAUUUUCAUUCACCAUUAUUGUCACUAUCUGGCACUAUUUCAUUGUCAUUGUCUUCAUCUUCUUCGUCAACAUCUUGUAUGCACCUUUCUGGACCGAGGGAGUCGUAAUCUAUGCCCCAUUUGACACACAUUUAUCGUAGUUCAUCGCUAUCAUCAAUAAAAUCACUUGCUUGAUUUCUACAAUAAUAUGGGACUCCUACGUCCAACGUCUGUGGUAGAAACUUAGGUAGUCCCUCCCACUCGACAACUGUUGGGAAAACAGGAUAAUUAUUGUCUCUAUGCAAUUUUUCAUUUUCUAAUAAAUUUCAAUAUUGAUCCUCUGUUCCUUGGAGGUAGUUAAGAACAUCGAGUGCAUGAUGAACGACUAGUGUCUUUUUCAUCUCUAAAAUCUCCUUCAUCAAAUGCCGAAUCACUUCUGGUUCAUCUUUGUGUGUGUUUGUUUGGAAGGUUGCAGACAGUGCCUGUGGUACAAUUAGCCCAUGCCAGUGACAUAGUAUAUCAUAAUAACACCGUUUUGAGUAAAGGGUAAGCCAUUGUAGUUUUUCAUCCCAAAUUCUCAUACCUUCAGGCAUUGUAGAAUGCACUUCGCCCUCAAUAAUGUGCCCUGCAACUUUGAGAUCAGUGUGUAUAUUGAUAGGGUUAUUUUCCAAGGGACGUAGCACACCAUACCACUUGUCAUCAACCAAAUCAGUAUAGCAACCUAGCAUAUUUUUUUCAAGGUAGGGAUUGAUUGUGUUAUGACGUGUUCUAUGUGGAUCUGUUGAGCUACCUUCACCUUUUUGCCUCUUCUUAAAUCACUUAUUAAAUGUUAGUGGAAUUUCUUAAAUGGAUGUCGUAAUGAUUCUAGAAAUGGUCUUUGAAUACUGAUCUCUUGGUUCAACUUAAGAAGAACUAAACUGCACGAACUUGUAUAUAAAUCGUAGCGCAUCACCAAUAUGUGUUAUGUGUAUUGUCAUGUCGACCUGAAAAAGCUGUCGACCUAAAAAAGUUAUCGGCCUGAAAAAGCUGCACCUACUUGUACCUUAAAGAAUCAUUAGCACGCGAAACAUAGCGCAUCACCAAUAUGCAUUAUGUGUAUUGUCAUGCAACCUGAAAAAGAUGUCGGCCUGAAAAGGCUGCAUCCACUUGUACCCUAAAGAAUCAUUAGCACGUGACACGCAGCGCAUCACCAAUAUGUGUUAUGUGUAUUGUCAUGUCGAGCUGAAAAAGUUAUCGACCUCAAAAAGUUAUCGAUCUGAAAAGUUGCACCCACUUGUACCCUAAAAAAACAUAGCACGCGACACGUAGCGCAUCACCAAUAUGAGUUAUGUGUAUUGUCAUGUCGAGCUGAAAAAGAUGUCGACCUCAAAAAGUUGUCAACCUCAAAAAGCUAUCGAUCUGAAAAGCUGCACCCACGUGUACCCUAAAGAAUCAUUAGCACGCGACACAUAGCGCAUCACCAAUAUGCGCUAUGUAAAGUAAAAUCACUCUUAGCUGCCUAUAAAAACCUCGUGCAUUUUAGUUAUUAUUUGUGUUGUAACAAAACGAAUAAAACAACUUUCCAUUAAUUUUUCAUUUUUGAGCAUUACGAGAUGUCUGGAUGCAAUGACGUACCAAGGUGUUACUGUGGAAAACGUGCGAUUUUGAACCCAUGUUGGUCAAAUUGCAAUCUGGGGCACAAAUGUUGGAUGAGUAAACAAGUUGUAAGUUAUUAUUAUUGGAAAAAUAAUUUGUUAAUAGUUUUUAUAUAACAUGUUAAUUAAUAGUCUUUUGUUAUCAUCCCCAUUGGUAGGACGAAAACCAAUGUGGUUUUGAAGAAUGGUAUGAUGAACCCUUUAACCAGGAAUACUACAAAUCAUGUUUGCUAAACAUUUGAAAUCUGGCCAGUGAGUAAGAACUCCAAAUCCUGAAAUUGCAAGAACAACUUGCGACAGUGAACGAGAAACUAAAAGAGGCAGAAGAAGAAAAAAUAGGUUGGAAGAGAAAUUUAAGUGGUUGAAGCAUAGAAUAAUGGGCGAUAGUGACUAGAAUAAUGGGCGAUAGUGACUAAAACAACACAUGUAUGCGUUUAGUGUAGUUUUUUUAUUUUUAUGUUGUACGUGUCAUGUAUUAUCUUUAAUUGUUAACGAAUUUAAAUUAAUUUUAAGAUGUCUUUUUUUUGUUCUAGUGUUAAACUAAUAAAUAACCCGAAAAAAUAAAAACACAUGCGCAAAUUAUGUAAAACAUAAAUAAUUUUGUUAUUAUAUAUUUAAUGUCAUAUAUACAAUUAAGAAUACAUAUCAAUGAGUCCCACAGCCUGUAUGCUUUAAAGCAUUGGCUGGCCUGAGGCGCAUCUCAUCCCGCACGGCUACGCUAUCAGGAUCAUCCUCAUCACGUUGCCUCUGUAUCGGAGGAUGCGCUGCAGCAUGAUCGUCAGGAAGGUUUGCAGGCUUUGUAGAAGCGGCCAUUGGGCCAGCACUAACCUACAGAAUAAUAAGAUAUUUUAGUAUAUGAAAUACAGAAUACAAACGUAUGUGUUAUCAAAAAACUUUAAUGGUCAUACCAUGGUCUCAGCUGGCUCCUGCAUAAUAUCAUCUGUCCCCGACAAAUUAGUAUCGCACAGUGUCGCCUCCGUGAUGGCGAUGACAAAAUCUUUAAAAAAAAUAAAAACACUUUAGAUAUUACUGACUAAUCUAUAAUGUAAAAAUAAAUUGAAAUAAUAGUAAUACAAACAAACUUGUGCCUGAUUAGCGACGCAAUGCUCUGUCGGAACAUUGAGGUGCACCGGAGUAGAUGAAGUAUGUGAAAGAUCCACAGCAUCCCUCGGUGAUGAACCAUAACUCAGUCGUUGCCCACUAUGCACCUCUCGUAUCGGAUGAUCAGCAUUAACCGUCGAUGGCUCUAUGCGAUGAGGAAAAUACUGAUCCCACUCCUGCUGCGUAAUGGUCGUGCUCGCGAUCAACAAUGGAGUUGACGCCAGCCCGCUCACCUGUAACGACCCGGUCGGUCAUUUUGAGAGUUAUAGCCCUGAUCCCAUGUUUUUUGCUUUCCCUGUAUCUCAUUCUACUUAUGUGACUUGCUGGGAGACUUUGGUUGUGUUUUCGGAGUAUUUUGGGACACUUAGUCCAUAAAUAGAAACUUAAAUCUUAGGAUUUUUGACUGUAGUUGGAACUGUGUGAAGACGACUCUGGAAUAGAGUUUUGUUGGUUCUGUUAGCUCCAUUGGGUGAUUCUGGACUUAGGAGCGUAUCCAGACUGCGAAUUGGAGGUCCGUAGCUAAUUUAGGCUUGAAUUGGCGAAAGUCGAAUUUUUUUGAGAUUUUGACUGGUAGUGGACUUUUUGAUAUCGGGGUUCGAUUUAGAUUACGGAAGUUGGAGUAGGUCUGUAAGGCUGAAUAUGACUUGUGUGCAAAAUUUGAGGUCAAUCAGACGUAGUUUGAUAGGUUUCGGCAUCAGUUUUAGAAGUUUGAAGUUUCAAAGUUCAUUAAGUUUGAAUCGGAGAGUGAUUCGGGUUUUUAGCGUUGUUUGAUAUGAUUUGAGGGCUAGACUAAGUUUGUAUGGUGUUUUAGGACUUGUUUGUAUGUUUGUUGGAGUCCCGGGGGACUCAAGUGUGUUCGGAUGCUUAACGGAUUGAAAUUGGACUUAGGCAAAAGGUUGAAGUUUUCUGGUUUCUAGUGUUUUCGCACCUGCAGUAGGGAGACCGCAGGUGCGGGAUCGCACGUGCGCAAGGUCUAUCACAGAAGCGGAGUGGGGUAGGUGCUUAGGGGUCGCAGGUGCGAGGCGAUAUUCAGCAUUUGCGAUGCCCGCAGAUGCGCCAAAGGAGCGCAGGUACGAGGUGAGACUGCAGAAGCGGACCAGGUUCCGCAGGAGCGCGCACGCAGGUGCGGCCCCCUCAUCGCAGAUGCGGACCCAGCCCCUUAAUUCAUUUCUGCACUUGUGAGGGAAAUUCCGCAGGUGCGGCGUCGCAGGUGCAUCAAUAGGUUCGCAGAUGCAGAAUCGUUGGGCACAAAAGAUCAAGUUCGAGGGUUUGUUUUCCAUUUUUAAUUUUGGGACCUUGAGAGCUCAGUGUGAGGCGCCUUUUCGACGGUUCUUCAAGGUAAUUGUUGGGGUAAGUGAUUCUAACCUGGAUUGGACUAUAUUUCAUGAAUCUAUUACUAUUUUCAUCAUCUAAUUAGGGAUUUGAGUCGGAAAUUUGGGGGAGCAUGUUAUAAACUUCCUAGACUAAAAUUUAAAGUUUUGAAAGGCGAUUUGAGGUCGGAUUCGAGUAAUUCUUAUAUGGUUAGACUCGUGAGUGAAUGAGUUUUCAUAUUUUGUGACUUUUAUCCAAUUCCGAAAUGUAGGCCCGGGGAGAGUGUUUGGGGCGAUUUUCUAAUUUCUUGCUUUAGCUUUGAUUUCAUUAAUUAGAUUAGUUUCUUAUAAUUGUAUUUAUGGUAUGUAAUUUAUUUUUACUAGAUUUGGGCCAUUCGAAGUUGGAUAUUCGUGAAAAAGGCAUUUAUACCGAUUGAUUGAGUUUGGUUCGAGGUAAAUGGCUUUCCUAAUCUUGUGUGGGAGAAAUUCCCUUAGGAUUUGGUACUGUUGUGAUAUGUGAGCAUCGUGUACGCAAGGUGACGAGUACGUACACAGGUUAUUUGUUGUAAAAACCCAAUUUAUUUUACUGAGUAGCAACCUGAUUUUCCUUUAAUUUGAGUUAUACCGUUUAAAUGAGUAUAAGCAUGUUUUCAUUCUUAAUUGAGCUAUUUCAAAAUGUGUAGUUAUCCUGUUUAGUCUAAUAUCGCAUGUCUACGUGCUUUAAUUGCUUAUUUGAACUCUGUGAAGCAUGCCUAGUUGAUUUCCUGCUUUUCCUUGUUCUUUAUCAGUAUAACUGUAGAAAUCUUGUAGUUAACUGUUGUAUUUAUCGGUUUGAGUUGUGUGUUUACUUUUGAGUUCUCCCUGCACAUUUACUUUUGAGACUACGAGGCAGUUCCUCAGGAGUUCUCCCUGCAUAUUUACAUUUGAGACUACGAGGCAGUACCUCAAGAGUUCUCCCUGUAUAUUUACUUUGCGACUACGAGGCGGUUCCUCAGGAGUUCUCCCUGCACAUUUACUUUUGAGACUACGAGGCAAUUCCUCAGGAGUUCUCCCUGUAUAUUUACUUUUGAGAUUACGAGGCGGUACCUCGGGAGUUCUCCCUAUAUAUUUACUUUCGAGACUACGAGAUGGUACCUCGGAAGUUCUCCUUGUAUAUUUAUUUUGGGACUACGAGACGGUAUCUCGGGAGAUCCCCUGCUGUUUACCUAUGUGUGUUGUACUGUUGCCUUGCUAUGUUUCCUUUUGUUAAAUUCUAGUCUCUUAUUAUACUGUAUAUUCUCCUACCUUAUUUAUUAUUUGCCAGUGGGCCUGACCUGUCAUCGUCACUACUCGACCGAGGUUAGGCUUGGCACUAACUGGGCACCGUUAUGGUGUACUCAUGCUACUCUUCUGCACAUAUUUUGUGUGCAGAUCUAGGUACUUCUUAUCAGCCCCACUACUUACUGAGAGUGCUUGCUGUUGUACGGAGACUUCAAGGUACAUCUGCCGCAUCUACAGACCUCGGAGUCCCCCUCUAUUCUCUCCUAUGUCAUUUACCUUUCGUACUUCUUUUUGUUAGACUCUAGAGUUAAGAGAUACUAAUUUCCUUCUGUAGCUUGUGACUUAUGAUGUUUCGAGUUUUUGGGAAGACUGUGUAUUUAUAGAGUAUUGGUUAUUGUACAUGCCGAGCGGUAUUAGUACUAGUUAUUCAGUUAUCCACUGCUGCUAGCUGCCAAGGUUUACUUUUGUUUUGUUAUUUUUCGCAAUUUGUUAGGCUUACCUAGUCGUGGAGACUAGGUGUCAUCACGACAUUAUACGGAGGGAGUUUGGGUCAUGACAAGUUGGUAUCAGAGCUCUAGGUUCAUAGGUGUCGUGAGUCACAAGCCAUCUUAUUAGUUUCGCGGAUCGGUACGGAGACGUCUGUACUUAUCUUCGGGAGGCUAUGGAACUGUUAGGAAAACCAUUCCACUAUUUUGAUUCCUUAUCAUGUGAAAAUUGUUUACUUCAAAAUUCUGAACUUCUGUAUUCUAUUCUCUCACAGAUGGUGAGGACACCUACAGGCGGAUCUGAUGACCAGGCACCCGCGCCCCCUGCUAGAGCCGCGAGAGGCCGAGGACGUCCACGCGGUGCAUCUAGAGCACUCGCGCGAGCUGCGAAAGAGGAGCCCCCAGUAGCUCCAGCUGGAGGGCAGUUACCUAAGGUACCUGUUGCUGCACCAACCCUUCAGGAGACUCUAGCCCAAUUUCUGAGCAUGUUCAGCACCUUAGCUCAGGCUGGAUUGAUUCCACUUGCUCCUGCCACAUCUCAGGCCGGGGGAGGAGCACAGGCUCCCGUCGCCGGUACUCCAGAGCAGCGGGCUCAGGUCGACCAGGUUCCAGAGAUUAUACUGAUGCAGUCGGUAGCUCCAGUUCAGCCCAAGGUUAGGGUAGCAGUUUCUGAGGCGGAGCAGCUCAGACUUGAGAGGUACAAGAAGUACGGCCAUUGAUGAAGGAGUGUGACGCGUAUCUAGCUUAUGUGAGAGAUGUCAGUAUUGAUGUCCCUACAGUUGAGUCAGUCACAGUAGUGAGGGACUUUCCAGAUGUGUUUCCAGCUGAUCUUCCAGGCAUGCCUCCCGACAGAGAUAUUAAUUUUGGCAUUGAUUUGUUGUCGGGCACUCAGCCUAUAUCUAUUCCUCUGUAUCAUAUGCCUCCUCCUGAGUUGAAGGACUUGAAAGAGCAGUCAGAUGAGUUGCUUGAUAGGGGCUUCAUUCAGCCCAGUGUGUCACCUUGGGGUGCUCCUGUCUUAUUUGUGAAGAAAAAAGAUGGUUCUAUGCGUAUGCGCAUUGAUUAUCGCCAGCUGAACAAAGUUACAGUGAAGAACAGGUAUCCAUUGCCUCUUAUUGAUGACUUAUUUGAUUAGCUACAGGGUGCCAGGGUGUUUUCCAAGAUUGAUUUACGUUCUGGCUAUCACCAGUUGAAGAUUCAGUAACCAGAUAUCCCGAAGACUGCUUUCAGGACUCGGUAUGGUCACUUCGAGUUUCUUGUGAUGUCAUUUGGGCUGACCAAUGCCCCCAACAACUUUUAUGCACUUGAUGUACAGUGUGUUUCGGCCCUAUCUUGACUUUUUCGUCAUUGUAUUUAUUGACGACAUUCUGGUGUACUCACGGACUCGGGAGGAUCAUGAGAAGCACCUGAGGACUAUGCUUCUGACCUUGAGAGAAAAGAAGUUAUAUGCAAAAUUUUCAAAGUGUGAGUUUCGGCUAGACUCAGUGGCAUUCUUAGGUCAUGUAGUAUUGAGUGAUGGGAUCAAGGUGGAUCCGAAGAAGGUGGAAGCAGUGCAGAGUUGGCCUAGACCAUCAUCAACUACGGAGAUUCGGAGUUUUCUUAGUUUGGCAGGGUAUUACCGUCGUUUUGUAGAGGGAUUCUUAUCUAUUGCAGCACCUAUGACCAGGCUGACCCAGAAGGGUGCUCCGUUCAGGUGGAAAGAGGAGUGUGAGGAGAGCUUUCAGAAGCUCAAGACAGCUUUGACUACAGCCCCAGUAUUAGUAUUGCCUACAGGUUCGGGGUCUUAUACUGUAUAUUGUGAUGCAUUACAGAUUGGUCUCGAUGCGGUGUUGAUGCAGGAUGGUAGGGUGAUUGCCUACGCGUCCAGACAACUGAAGGUGCAUGAAAAGAACUAUCAUGUCCACGACCUUGAGUUAGCAGCUAUUGUUCAUGCCUUUGAAGAUUUGGCGGCACUAUUUUUACGGUGUCCCUUGUGAGAUCUACACAGAUCACCGGAGUUUGCAGCAUCUGUUCAAAUAGAAGGAUCUUAACUUGCGUCAGCGGAGGUGGUUAGAGCUACUUAAAGACUAUGAUAUCACCAUUUUGUACCAUCCGGGAAAGGCUAAUGUGAGUUGCCGGGAGAGAGUUUGGGGAGUUUAGCAUAUCUACCAGCAACAUAGAGGCUAUUGGCGUUAGAUGUUUAGGCCUUAUCCAGCCAGUUAGUGAGAUUGGAUAUUUCUGAGCUGAGUCGAGUAUUGGCUUGUGUGGUCUCUCGGUCUUCUCUUUAUGAUCGUAUCAGGUAGCGUCAGUAUGAUGACCCGAUUCUGCUUGUCCUUAAGGACGCGGUUCAGCACGGUGAUGCUAAGGAGGUCACUAUUGGAGAUGAUGGUGCAUUGAGGAUGCAGGGCAGGCUAUGUAUGCCCAAUGUAGAUGGGUUGCGUGAGUUGAUUCUCUAAGAGGCUCACAGCUAGCGGUACUCCAUUCAUCCGGGUGCCGCGAAGAUAUACCAGGACUUGAGGCAACAUUACUGGUGGAGGAGGAUGAAGAAGGACAUAGUGGAGUAUGUAGCUCGGUGUCUAAAUUGCCAGCAUGUGAAGUAUGAUCAUCAGCGACUAGGUGGGUUACUUCAGAAGUUAGAAAUUCCGGAGUGGAAAUGGGAGCGGAUCACUAUGGAUUUUGUUGUUGGACUCCCACGGACUCAGCGGAAGUUUGAUGCAGUUUGGGUGAUUGGGGAGAGUCUGACCCAGUCAGCUCAUUUCAUUCCUGUGAUGACUACCUAUUCUUCCGACCAGUUGGCUCGAAUUUAUAUCCGCGAGAUUGUCAGGCUUCAUGGCGUACCUGUAUCUAUCAUCUCUGACCGGGGUACGCAGUUUACAUCACGGUUCUGGAGGGCCGUACAACAUGAGUUGGGUACUCGAGUGGAGCUGAGCACAAUAUUUCAUCCUCAGACGGACGGGCAGCUCGAGUGCACUAUUCAUAUAUUAGAGGAUAUGCUCUGUGCGUGUGUGAUAGAUUAUGGAGGUUCUUGGGAUCAGUUCUUGCCACUUGCAGAGUUUGCCUACAACAAUAGUUAUCAAUCGAGCAUCCAGAUGGUACUUUAUGAGGCUCUGUAUGGUAGGCGGUGUCGGUCUCCAAAGGGUUGGUUCGAGCCGGUCGAGGAGGCGACUUGGGAGACCGAGCAGGAUAUGCGCAGCCGUUAUCCUCAUCUUUUCACAACUUCAGGUAUGUCUCUAUACUCGUUUGAGGAUGAACGAUUGUUUUAGGAGGGGGAGGAUGUAACGACCCGGCCGGUCAUUUUGAGAGUUAUAUCCCCAAUUCCAUGUUUACUGCUUUCCCCGUAUCUCUUUAUGCUUAUGUGACUUGCCUGGGGGCUUUGGUUGUGUUUUGGGACACUUAGUCCCUAAACGGAAGCUUAAGUCUUAGGAUUUUUUUACUGUAGUUGGAACUGUGUGAAGACGACUCCGGAAUAGUGUUUCGUCUGUUCCAUUAGCUCCGUUGUGUGAUUCUGGACUUAGGAGCGUACCUGGAUUGCGAAUUGGAGGUCCGUAGCUGAUUUAGGCUUGAAUUGGCGAAAGUUGAUUUUUUAGAGAUUUUGACCGUAGUGGACUUUUUGAUAUCGGGAUCGGAUUUCGAUUCCAGAAGUUGGAGUAGGUCCAUAAGGCCGAAUAUGACUCGAGUGCAAAAUUUGAGGUCAAUCGGACGUGGUUUUACAGGUUUCGGCAUCAGUUUUAAAAGUUUGAAAUUUCAAAGUUUAUUAAGUUUGAAUCGGAGAGUGAUUCGUGUUUUUAGCAUUGUUUGAUGUUAUUUGAGGGCUCGACUAAGUUCGUAUGGUGUUUUAGGACUUGUUUGUACGUUUGGUUGGAGUCCCGGGGGCCUCGGGUGUGUUUCGGAUGCUUAACAAAUUGAAAUUGGAGUUAGGCAAAAGGCUGAAGUUUUCUGGUUUCUGGUGUUUUCGCACCUGCGGUGGGGAGACUGCAGGUGCGGGAUUGCACAUACGCAAGGUCUAUCGUAGAAGAGGAAUGGGGUAGGUGUUCAGGGGUCGUAGGUGCGAGGUGAUUUUCCGCAUAUGCGAUGCCCGCAGAUGCGCCAAAAGAGCGCAUGUGCGAGGUGAGACCGCAUAAGAGAACCAAGUUCCGCAGGCGCACACACGUAGGUGUGGCCCCUUCAUCGCAGAUGCGGACCCAGCCACCUUAAGUUAUUUCCACACUUGCGAGGGAAAUUCCGCAUGUACGGCAUCGCAGGUGCGACGGUAGGUCCGCAGAUGCGGAAUCGCUGGGCAGAAAAGAUCAAGUUCGAACGUUUGUUUUCCAUUUUCAAUUUUGGGACCUUGAGAGCUCGGUGUGAGGCGAUUAUUCGAGGGUUCUUCAAGAAAAUUGUUGGGGUAAGUGAUUCUAACCCAUAUUGGACUAUAUUUCAUGAAUCUAUUACUAUUUUCAUCAUCUAAUUAGGGAUAUGAGUUGAAAAUUUGGGGGGAAAUGGCAUAAACUUCCUAGACUAAAAUUUUGAGUUUUGAAAGGCGAUUUGAGGUCGGAUUCGAGUAAUUCUUAUAUGGUUGGACUCGUGAGUGAAUGAGUGUUCAUAUUUUGUGACCUUUACCCGAUUCUGAGACGUGGGCCCGGGGAGACGUUUUUGGGGCGAAUUUCUAAUUUCUUGCUUUAGCUUUGAUUUCAUUAAUUAGAUUAGUUUCUUAUAGUUGUUUUUAUGGUAUAUAAUUGAUUUUGGCUAGAUUUGGGCCGUUCAGAGUCGGAUAUUCGUGGAAAAGGCAUUGUUACCGAUUGAUUGAGCUUGGUUCGAGGUAAGUGGCUUGCCUAACCUUGUGUGGGGGAAAUCCCCUUAGGAUUUGAUACUGUUGUGAUAUGUGAUCACCGUGUACGCGAGGUGACAAAUACUUACACGGGAUAUUUGUUGUAAAAUCCGAUUUAUUUUACUGAGUAACAACCUGUUUUUCCUUUAAUUUGAGUUAUACUGUUUAAAUGAGUAUUAGCCUGUUUUCAUUCUUAAAUGAGUUAUUCCAAAAUGUGUAGUUAUCCUGUUUAGUCUCAUAUCGCAUGUCUACGUGCUUUAACUGCUUAUUUGAACUCUGUGAAUCAUGCCUAGUUGAUUUCCUGCUUUUCCUUGUUCUUUAUUAGUAUAAUUGUAGAAAUCUUGCUGUUAACUGUUGUAUUUAUUGGUUUGAGCUGCGUGUUUACUUUUGAGACUACGAGGCGGGUCAUCGGGAGUUCUCCCCGUACAUUUACUUUUGAGACUACGAGGUGGUUCCUCGAGAGUUUUUCCUGCACAUUUACUUUUGAGACUACGAAGCAGUUCCUCGGGAGUUCUCCCUGCAUAUUUACUUUUGACACUAUGAGGCGGUACCUCGGGAGUUAUCCAUGUAUAUUUACUUUAUACUACGAGGCGGUUCCUCGAGAGUUCUCCAUGUAUAUUUACAUUUGAGACUACGAGGCAGUUCCUCGGGAGUUUUCCAUGCAUAUUUACUUUUGAGACUACGAGACGGUACCUCGGGAGUUCUCCCUGUUUAUUUACUUUUGAGACUAUGAGGCGGUACCUCGGGAGUUCUCCCUAUAUAUUUAUUGUGGGACUACGAGACGGUAUCUCGGGAGAUCCCCUGCUGUUUACCCAUGUGUGUUGUACUGUUAUCUUGUUGUGUUUCCUUUUGUUAAAUUCUAGCCUUUUAUUAUACUGUAUAUUCUCCUGCCUUAUUUAUUAUUUACCAAUGGGCCUGACCUGACCUCAUCACUACUCGACCGAGAUUAGGCUUGGCACUUACUGGGUACCGUUGUGGUGUACUCAUGCUACUCUUCUGCACAUGUUUUGUGUGAAGAUCCAGGUGCUUCUUAUCAGCCCCGCUACUAGCUAAGAGUGCUUGCUGUUGUACGGAGACCUCAAGGUACAUCUGCCGCAUCCGCAGACCUCGGAGUCCCCCUCUAUUCUCUCCUAUGUCAUUUACCUUUCGUACUUCUUUUUGUUAGACUCUGGUAUAUAGAGAUACUAGUUUCCUUCUAUAGCUUGUGACUUACGAUGUUUCGGGUUUUGGGAAGACUGUGUAUUUAUAGAGUAUUAGUUAUUGUACAUACCGAGCGGCAUUGUUACUAGUUAUUCAGUUAUCCACUGUUGUUAGUUGUCAAGUUUUACUUUCAUUUUGUUAUUUUUCGCAAUUUGUUAGGCUUACCUAGUCGUAGUGACUAGGUGUCAUCACGACGUUAUACGGAGGGAGUUUGGGUCGUGACAUCACCUAAGCCAAGGCAAUACCGUGUUACCAAUGCCACUACCUUGGCACUAAGUCAUCUUGUCUUAGCGCCUAGGUUUUUGCCCAUAUUGUUUUGUCAAGCUUCUUCCCAAUUUGCCUUGCCCUUCAAGACCUUGGCCUUUGCUUGCACACAGCCCCACUCAUGCUUUAGUGUAGUCUGUCACACCUUAGCCUUGCAACAGUAGUGUAUUCCGUCACACCUUAGCUUUGCAACAAUAGUGUAGUUCGCCAUACCUUAGCCUAGCAACAGUUUGUUGCUAUUAACAACGCCCCCAUUGUCUUGCAUGUUGAUUGCCCCGAACAUACGCCAAUGGCAAGGUCAUCAUGCCAUAUCUUUGCAACAGUCGUGCCAUAUGCCGAUCACUUUUGUCAAGGGUCUAACAAACCACCCUAACCAGUUGAAUUCGACGCCCCCGUCGAACAAUCCCAACACAUGCUCGCCAUUUGCAAAGACAUCACAAGUUCAGAACCUUUUUAAGAAUUAUGUUGUCCUUGCCCUCAAGUGCAACAAUUUUCUCAUUUUCUUCUCUUGUCCGUCAUUCCCACAGCAAAUCCAGCACGCAACUGGCCUGAUAUGAAAGAACCCACUACUGAUUUUGGCGCCCAUCAACAGUUCCGAUAAGUGCCUCCAAUGCGGCAACUAUUUCCCUCAAUUUUGCAUUGCCACUCAUCUUUCAUGAAAUUCAACCACUGAACGUUGUGUCUUUGUCCCGAUCCAGCCACACUCUGAUUCCAGUUGUCAAAGAGGUGAUUUUAGGCACUCGAAUUUUGUCCGAGUUUCACCACUGUGCGGCAGUCAAGCCCAUCCUUGACUUCAGCCUUUCCAACACUCGAAAUUAUUUCAGGGACGUUUGAGACUUAGAAGAAUUUAGGCAGCAAGAAAAGUAAAGGCACACACGAAAUUCACAGGAAACACUUUUCCCAACUUUGUAUUUAACUCGAGCAUACAAAGAAACUCAAACUCAAAGUACAACCGCGUACAAAAAGAAGAUCACUCUUGACCCUCAUAAGAAACUCUUAGCCUUAGGUGUUUUCACUCAUGAAAACACACUUAGGAACCCUUUCCUAAGUUAAACAUGCACUAUAAGAAGAUCACUCUAAGCGCAAAACACACACUUAAAUUGUGCUCUCUAGUCAAAGAUAGUAUAGUAUAAUAUCGUGUCCACAGGGAUUUGAUUUAAACGGUAUUAUCGUAGUUUGUAGCUAGAUUGCUAUCCAGGAGGAUCAACAAUGAAGAUAUAUAUGAAGUCUAACUACAAAUAACUAAGAAUCUAAAGCUAUUGACAAAUGACAAUCGCAACAAAGGUAAGCAAGGAAGUUAUCAAUGGGAAAAAAUAUGGGUUGAUAGGAUAUGUACAAGAUAAUUGUUCGGCAUCUAACUCUAGAUAAUUCACUUCUAAUGUUCAAGUGAGUCUCUCGAAUUCAUUUAAUUAUCAUUACAAUUGUUUAGUAGAAAAUCCUCUCUCGAUUAAGUCUCAACCUCACAAUAUGAACCAAUUUAAGCUCGGUGAAUAUAUGCAAGAAUUCGUAAUGGAUUGGUCUUUAGGAGAACCUCUUUCGAUUAUCCUCCUAACUAGGUUUAAUAAAGGAUUCAACUAGCCUCUUUCGAUUAUUUCGAAGAAUCUAUGAACUCAACCAACAAUAUAGUACAAAUAUAUCACAAGUUAUGCCCCUCUCGAUUACAAGAAUAAGUGAACAUAGAUGCAAUAAUUUAAUAUUCCCAAAAUGAUUCAAAUACAUAAAAAUAGAGUUAUAAUCCACAAACAAAAUACACCAAAUCCAUCAAAGCCCAAAAUGUUCUACUCCAUAGACAUGGAGAAGUUCUUCACAAAUAAAAUAAAAGUAUAGGAAAACAUAAAUACAAUCCAAACCCGGAUCUUGAGUGAGGAAGGAAGGAUGAAAUCCUUGUGCUCUUGCUUCUCCCUCUUCUCCUUAGCUUCCUUAGGUCUAAGGUAUGUCAAAGGUUCUUCUAAAAUAGUGUUUUGGGGUAUUUAAUCCGCUCCCAAAACCAAAACGGAUGAAACUACUCUUUUCUUAGCCAAAUUGGACUAUUCCCGGACAAGACAUGCGCGGUUGCGCACGUGGAGACCUGCUCUGGUCGCGCAUUUUGUACAUUGUUUUGCCCCAAGUGCGCGCCCAGUGCGUGAUCGCGCACUUGGUCGCGCACAUGGGUGGUAUCAGUUGGAAAUUUGGGAAAACGUAAAACAUGAAAGUUGUAGCCCUUUUAAAUAGCUUUCCAAUGAUAUAUUGUCGAGCCCAAACAGAUUUAUGAAAAAUGUUAUAUGCAUUUUACUGCACAAUGCGCAAUAUGCCUGUUCGAUUCUUCGUUUCAUUCUUAAAGUGCACUAUCAUCCGUUGAUCCCCGAACACGAUCUCAACUUAAUCCUUGGGAUUUUACUCAGACUUCAAAGCUCCAAAAUAGCAUGAAUUUAUGCCACAAUAUUUAUAUAGUUCGAAAUCACUCCUACAGGGCAUAAAAUACAUAAUAAGUGCAAAACACGCCUAAUUAAAGCUCAACAUAAGUAAAGUGCAGUAAAUUAGAGUGCAAUAAAUGACUAAAACACGGGAUUAUAGCCUACCAUCAACGGGGUCACCUGCAAAGUCCCUGGUGACAGCUGAAGGCUGAAUGAAGACAUAUCAUGAGGAGCAUCGUGUGGCUUAGAGUGGUCACUCGGCUGAUCAUCUCUAAUAUCCUCCACGGGUGCCUCAACCACCCCUUGCUUGGGACCCAAUCCUCGCCGACCACCACGCCCACGUAGGUUACCCCUUCCUCCGUGGCCACGCCUUUCACGUCUACCAUGUUCAGGCUCCACUGGUGGGCCAUGAUAGUACUCCUCGGGUGGCAUUUAAGCAACCUCGUAUACUAAGCACACAUCCUUUCGAGCAUGUCUCAAUGUGUCAACAACAAGAUCAGUAACUCGAUGGCCAAACACGUGCAGAGAUGUCGCUCUCUCGCCUCUAUGCUAUAGCAUCUCGAGUCCCAACUGGUAAAACUGGUGUAAGCCAAUAGCCCGCUUAGCAUAUAAAAUAUUAAUUAUGGAAGGAUAAUGUAACAUUAUAAGUAAGUAUAACAAAUAACAUACUAGUGCCUCAUGCCUCCCAGCGUAUGGAAUGUACCGACCACCAGUGCGAUGAACGAAAUUCCCGACGAGAAGUCGGGUAACGCUGCGAUACCAACCCAUGUACUCAUGCUCUCCCUCCAUACGGUCAGGUGGAGGGUUUGGCGGAAUCAGGCCAUACCACUGGUCCCAGUCUUCAAUCUAGGCCUCUAGCCAGGCCAAGUAUGUCUGGUCGACCCUGUAACGAUCAUCCCGCUAGUAAUGUGUCAUGUGCCAAGUGGGCGUAAUAGGUACAAGCUACGGGGGACCAAACUGGCAAAGGACUCGCUUGGUGGCAUGAUGCUCGACUAUAUCGAGACAUAUCAGUGGGACGGGAGAGCUCCACAUAGCUCGACCGCAGGAGCAAUAAUCUGGCAAUCCAGCUAUGAGCGCGUUGUUGUAUGGCCUCCAUACGAACUAUUUAUUAAACACAAGAAUCGUGAGUAAAAACAACACAUAUCGGUCACGCCCUGAACCUGGCGGGCGAGACCGGCACCCGGUGCCUCACCUAUUCUUGCGUACCAACUUGCGACUAAGGGACUCUGAACAUAUAAUGUCAUACUUUGGCCAUGGGCCACAAUGCAAGACAAUUACGAAUGCUUACUAAACAUCAAUAUAAUGCUGGGCCGACAAGGCCGUCAUAACUACUACAGCUGGCAAACCAACAAAAUAUACAUAAAAGGCCUACAAGCCCAAAAUACUGCACUAACUGACAGGAUAUGUCUACAAGCCUCUACUGAUGGAUGUACUGUGAUCGGAACAGGGCCCCGACCUAUCCAUAACAUAUAUAUACAUAUAUACACAAGAUGUACGUAAAACUCUAGACCCCGCAACUCUGACGGACGCGGAGCUUACCGAUCAAGCUGAACUCGGUCAACACCUAAUGAGGAGGUCUACUCGUCUGUCUGUCUGAACCUGCAUGCAUGGAAUGCAGCGUCCCCGGCAAAAGGAACGUCAGUAUAAAAUAAUGUACCGAGUAUGUAAGGCAACAGAAUAACUGAAAGUUGAAACUAAACUAAUAAUAUAAUAACUGAAAGUAACUGGGAGUCAAAGAUAAUCUGAAGAUAUGCUUACCUGCUGAUACUGACUCAACUCUCUCAAUAUAGUAAGUAAAAUAGAUGUCCGGCCUUAUAGGGCUCGAUAUAUAUAAUUGCUCUGCCGUAGUAGGCUCGCUCAUAGGCGCUCGGCAAUACUAGGCUCUGUAUCUCGGCCAUGCUGGGCUCGCUCAUAGGCGCUCGGCCAGAGUAGGCUCGAUAUAUAACUUACCAUGUAAUCAGAGGUUGCCCAAUAGGGGCCUACCCAUCAAUUAUAGCUCGAUGGUAAUAAAAAUACUGUAAUACUGUAUAUAUAGGCUCUCUGCUCUCUUGACUGGAAGAAGACAAUACUCAAUUAAAUAUGAAGUCCCGAUAAGGAGAAUACUAUAAUUUAUGAGACUAGGAUAAUGUAUAUAAAUUCGGGAGUAGGAACUUCUCUUUAUGCCUCGUUAUCAAACACAUGUAAUUAAGAGAUCAUGCCAAAAUGAAGAAAGGGCUUAGCCUUAACAUACCUGAGCUGAUUCUCUUGGUAAUCCCUUUAACACCCGUUGAUUGCGACAACAUGUAACAGCAGAUCGAAGUAGGAGAAAAUCCGUAUGAUAUUCUUGUGAAAGAUUGUACUGUAUUCCUUUAAAAUUGUAAAUCCCAUUGCUAUUACGUAGUAUAUCUUCGUAUGAAUUUCUUGGCUGGAGAUCCGUCACUUUGUAGAUUAGAUUAAGCACCUCUCUUUUGUGAAGUAACUCUCGUUACUAACAUUUUGUUUUGCUAAAGCAAUGUAUAUUUCUAUGGAGAUCAUUACUUGGAGAUGGGAGGAGGUGAGCAUCUCUUAUUUUGUGAAUUUUUUUUUUAUCAAAAUCUUACAUAUCUUUGGUUGAAUUUAAGAAGCUUUUUAUGGCUUAGCUAAGAGGCCCUCUAAAGGUGCCACCUAGCAAUUCAAUUCAAGAGUCACUAAUUGAAUAGUGGCUGCCACGUUUUGGGCCUUUUAGGCCUUAUCCCAUAAUCAUAAUUAUUUACUAAUCUUCUUGAUUAUCUUAUUAAUCUCCCACUCAUCGAUAAUUACCCAAUUAUCCACAUAAUUAAGAAUUCUCUCAAAUUACUUAAAAUGCUACUCACUUUUAACACACUUUAUACAUCUUGCUAUCGUGAUCAUGUGAUACCUUAUAUGGUACUAGUCCAUAAAUACCGGGUAUUUUAGCUCGGGCCGUAUACUAUCCCAAAAUGUUAAACUUCGACGAAAUUUAUUUUCUUCUAUUUGCUUACCAUCUCACCUUCACAAACUUACUCAUCACUUGUUUGAAAUAGCAUAAUACUUAUAAUAAAAAAAUAAUCUUAUUCCCGAACUUACGUCGAUUAACUUACGAUAAAACUUUAACGUACAAAAAUACGAAAUGUAAUAUCUCAUUUUCGGGCUUUCAUCAACUUACUUAUGGCGUACUUUCAGGUACGAAAACAUGGGGUGUAACGAUAUCAAGCCAUGCCAAGUAAACUUAAGUAUAUAUGUACCUGAGCGCCUUCAAGUAAAUCCAACAAAUCCCUGUAAUAAGGAAAAAAACGGUGGAGGUGGUGCAUCCGGAGCUAACGGUGGCAGAUGUGGCUGGAACUGCAGGAACCGCUCCCAGGCCCAAACCUAAUAUAGAUUGUGGACGUAAAAUUUAAGGCAUUUUUUACUAUGUAUGUUAUAAUCAUGAAAAAAUUGACUUUGUUUUCCCCUGCAGCAGCGGUAAAAAACCGGCAACGUCUCUCUGGGUGCCCAUGCAUGCCCGACACAUCUGCCUAUACAGGUAACCUAGAACAGUUGCACCCCAGCCACCAGAUGCUUCCGAACAGGCGUCAGCUGCAAUCGGCUAGCCCCACUCAACGCAGUCAGCUCUGCUGGCUAGAAACCGGUGAGCCGCUGCAACAUAUGAAGGUAAUCCUCUCCCGUAUAGUCUCUAAGAGCAUGCGGGUAAGCAACACGUAUACCAUCAACGGGCAGCCCGAAAAGAACCUCCAAGUCCUCUAGCGUGAUGGUAGCCUCGCUGAUGGGUAGAUGAAAUGUGUGCGUCUCUAGUCGCCACCGCUCUAUCAUAGUCGUGAUCAGCUCCUAGCCGAACUGCAACCGGCCGAUCUCUAUGAUCUUGUAAAAAUCCGUCCCCUGAAGGCGUCUAACUAUACGAGAAUACAGUGGGUGGUCCCUAAUGAACUCCCACAUAUCGUUUAUACGUCUGGGGCGGAAGGUCUGGGACAGACAUUGCCCAUUCCAGAUGUGUGAAGACCUAUGGUUGCCCUGUAGCAACAGUAGCUCUCGAGAUGCAGGUCCAGGAUGCAUAGGGGGAACCUCCAUGACGAUGUCUAUAAAUUGAACAAUAUUAAUUAAAGUAUUUUCUUUUUAAUUGUUUAACAUCUUUAAAUAUAUUGCAAUAUCUUUUAUAUUAAUAUUUAAUCAAUAAAUUUUCUAUAUUAUUACUUAGGUUGAUACAUUUUCUAUAUUAUUAUUUUAUAUGUUAUUUUCUAACUUUAUUUUAUAUGUUAGUUUAUUAAUUUAUAUGUUAGUUUCUUACUCAGCUAUUUUUGGGUAUAAUAGAAUUAAAUAAUUACUUUUCAUAACUGUACAUGAUAUAAUUAAUAAGUAUUCAUAUAAAAAAUACGUAGUUUGACAAAUAUUCUAUAUUUUUGUUUUAUAUGUUAUUUUCUUACAUUUAUUUACUAAAUUUUGAGAGAGUUUGUGUUUGAACAAUCAUCUUUUUCAUAUAUUUUUGGGGUUAACAUAGAAUUAAAUAAUUAAUUUCAAUAAAUAAAAAGAUAUUUUAGUAAUAAUUCGUAUAACAAAUACUUAGAUUGAUAAAUUUUCUAUAUUAAUAUUUUAUAUGUUAGUUUCCUACAUUUUUCUACUAAAAUUCUACAUGAUUUUGUUUGAACUAUCAUCUUUUUUAAGUUACGUUAUUUUUUAUUUAUAAUAAAAUUAUAUAUUAAAAUUUCAUAAGUAAUCAAGAUAUAUUCAAUACUUAACCAUACAAAAAAUACUACAAACUUAAUAGUAAAUAAUAUUAAAUUUAUUUCAUUAGUAACGAUUGUUUGUUAACUAUCAUAUUUUGCCCAAAUUUCCCGACAGCGUCUCUUUUGUAACGUCAACUGAUUAUUUUAUAAUUCAUAUCUAAUAUUUAAUAAUUAUCUACUGAUACAUUAAAUUCAUAAUUCUACACAACGGAAUCUUAAAGAUCACUAAAGUAACACUACUCUAAAUGAUCAUAAACAAAGUCAACUACCAUAAGCCAAAAUUUAUUAUCAGUUUUACUACGCUAAAGGGCACUGCAUAACAAUUAAGGGCACAACAUAACACUAAAGGAUACUAAACAAUAAUAAAGUCACAUAUUAAUAUACAUACAACAUUAAAAUCACAUAUAACAAUAAUUAUUCAUAAAAUAGAAAUAUAUAUUUUUACUAACUUUUUAGCACAUAAAUAAACUAAUCCGGAUAAAAAAUAAAAAAUUAAUUAGAUCACAAAACGAUCACAAAAAACAUACACCACAGUAAAAAAAAAACAACUAAUAAGCAUGUUAUAUACGUGAGUUUUACCAAAAAGUAAAUCGGAAUACGUCGAUUUAAAAUUUUUUGAAAUGUGAACAAUUGAUAAUUUGGGAGCCGAAACGAGUAAUAGACGAGAUCCACUACACGACAACGCCUUGGAUCCGGUGUUAACUUGCUAAAAUACGGAGAAGACAUAAGUUUUGGGGGACGGGUGGGCUCCAAUGGAGUUUUUUAGUUAAACAUUUGGGGGGAGGGGGGGGGGGGUUGAUGGUAGGUUAGAAAUAUGAAUUUUUGGCUUUACUUCACCUGUUAUUUGCUAUAUGCUAUAUUUUAAUUGUGUUUGAGCUUAAAAGUAAAAAAUUUAUACUAAUUAGGUGUUUCUCCUUUGUAGGAGCAAGUUUGAAGGAAAUUUGAUCAAAAGAAGUAGGAAAAAUAAUGGAAGCCGUUGAAUUAAAAUUGCAAAUCAUUUUGGUGGGACCAAUAAUUAUGUAAUGAUGAAGCAUAAGGAAAUAGAUAUAAACAAAUAAUGGAGACAAACACAAAGGAAUGAACUUUGGAUUUAAAACUGUAAAAAAAAACCGCAACAUAGUUGACACUGGACAAGCCUCUGAUAAGUCUCACAGGCGCGAUGCAUGGCGCGCCGCGGGGCGCCCGCGUCUGUGCAUUUUUGUCAGAGUAUGUUUCCACUUCGGCUUAGAGAGUAUAGUUUCGUUCCGGUCCGGUCCGUUCCUACUUGAUAUAAAUACAUCGGAAACAUAUUUUUGAAGGGGAUUCGACCUAGGAGAGCUUUAUAGAGAGUUACCACGGCUUGAAGACACAAAAUAUCAUCAAUUAUCUUGACAACAAUUGGUGCAAAACGAGAUUUUGUAUUGUAAAAUUAUCUUUGAUAUUUUCUUUGUUCUUAAACUUAUUUGUGAUGACUUUCUCCAUAUCUAUGGAGUAGUUCUUCCCUAGGAUUUUGACGAAUAUGGUGUUUUGAGUGUUGUUUGCGGAUUUUAACUAUUGUUUAAUUGUAUGAAUUCAUUUAUGCAGCUUUGAAUUGAUUGUGAAAUUAUUCACCGAUUUAUUUAAUUAAAAAAGGAAUAUUUUGGUGAUUAACUUUGCAUUAUUUGGUUUGGUUUAAUUUAGUGAUUCUUUUAAGUAAUCGAGAGAGCUUUUUGAAUUAUUGCUUAAACCAAGUUAGGAGAAUAUUCGAGAGACGUUUUCCUAAAGACUAGUCCAUUAACGUGAUUUUGCACAUCUUCACAGUAUUUCAUAUUAGUUUAUUUUGUAGAGUUCAGAUUUAAUCGAGAGAGGAAUCCUGACCUUACGUUUAAGCUAAUUAUCGAGUGAAUUCGUGAGAAUCAUUAGAAAAUUAGAAGUGAAUACCAUCUUAUACCUAUCAUGUCAUGACCCUUAUUUCUCAUAUUAUUUACAAACCGUUUUAGUUCAACUCUUAUUCUCUGUGAUCAUGUCUAAUAGCAGAAAACCAUAAGUUAUUUGAACAUUGUUUAAAUUCAAUCUUUGUGGAAACAAUAAUUUUAUAUACUAUUUUUGACUAGCGAGCAUUAAUUUCGUAUGUGUUUUGCGCUUGUCAACCGUUUUUGUUCCUUUUUGUUCUGUCUGGUAUGGGAAGAAGACUGGUUCGAUAUUUUAUAUAGGUAUAGCGCAUAUAUAGGAUGCGCUAUACUAAGUAUAGCACAUCAUGUAUAUGCGCUAUAUGUAAACUUUGCUCGCCAAUUUGAAGUUCAAAUUUAGCGCAUGUAACCCAUGCGCUAUACCUUAACGGAUAAACGUGCCGUUAGGGUAUAACGCACCGAAGAAAUGCGUUAUAUUUAAAAUGGUUCUCAAUUAUUUUUUCACUUAUUUUUGUGUUUUGUGUCCAAAAAGACUAACAUUUUGGUUCCGGAUAGAUCUGUCAAUUGAAACCAUUGAAAAUAAUAAUCAGAGAAAUGCUCCAAGAAUCCCGGGCCACAUUUCAUGUGUAUAUCAAGAGAAGCGCAAACUUUAAGUUUGGUGAGCAAAGUAUUGGUCAAGUUUGAAAAUUCUUUAAAUUCCAUUUAUUUCCUAAACCCUCUUCACUUAAUAUACAUUAGUCGUGACAUAGAUAAACUUAAAAGUUAAUCUAGGUCAAAAGUAAAAAUAAACAACAACAACAACACCGCUUCAACCCCAAAUUAAUUGGGAUCAGCUCUAUGCAUCCUCUAUAUCCAUUUGACUUUAACUAAAAAGUAAAAAAAGUAAAAAAGUAAAAAGAAAAGGCAAAAUGUGCCAUCCUUCCUUUUCAUUCUUUGGUCCUCUUUCCUUCACUAUUCCUAAACAAUAUUCAUCAAAUGUUCAUGUAAAUUGCCAGAAUCUAU